rnacentral:rRNA from 1 species
GUCCACGCCGUAAACGAUGUCGACUAGCCGUUGGGAUCCUUGAGAUCUUAGUGGCGCAGCUAACGCGAUAAGUCGACCGCCUGGGGAGUACGGCCGCAAGGUUAAAACUCAAAUGAAUUGACGGGGGGCCCGCACAAGCGGUGGAGCAUGUGGUUUAAUUCGAAGCAACGCGAAGAACCUUACCUGGCCUUGACAUGUCCGGAA